rnacentral:rRNA from 1 species
UACGGAGGAUGCGAGCGUUAUCCGGAUUUAUUAGGUUUAAAGGGUGCGUAGGCUGAACAGUCAGUCAGUGGUGAAAUCCUGCGGCUUAACCGUAGAACUGCCAUUGAUACUACUGUUCUUGAGUACAGUUGAGGUAGGCGGAAUGUGUAGUGUAGCGGUGAAAUGCUUAGAUAUUACACAGAACACCGAUUGCGAAGGCAGCUUACUAAACUGUUACUGACGCUGAGGCACGAAAGCGUGGGGAGCGAACAGGAUUAGAUACCCCCGUA